GUCAGGGAGUCGGCUGGGCUCCAGAUCCCAAGCCCUUGCUCACCCCGGGGUGGGGGUGGGUGGACAGGGCCAGGCCCCCUACAGCGAAGGUUCUAAAUAAGGCCCUGGAAUCUGCUGUGUCAAGUGACAGCUGAGAAUCCCUGUGGCCCAGUGUCCUCUACCACCCGGCCCCAGAGUGACGUGGGGGGUGCCGAUGGCAAACCAAGACCCCCCGCCCAACCUUCAGCCACCCUCCAGCCUCUCGGAGAAAGGAACUUCUCAGAGAAAACAAAACAGCUGCCACCUGGCCUGGUUGAACCUGCUCGUGGCCUGGCGUGGCCUGCUCGUGCAGUGGCGGGGAGUUAGGGCCGACCCUUUCAGCUGGGGGCCUGGAAGAGCCGGUGAAGGGCCAGAGCCUGGGAUCGCAGCAGCCCCACAUCUGCGCGCCUGACUCACGGACUCUGACAUAGUGACGGUUUGUGCAGCUUGCUAAGGAGAGAGCACCCAGGCCUGUCCUCCAAGGGCCCCGUCUGAGGCCCUAUCUCAGAGGUGCGGUAGUAACAGGAUCCCUCUGGAGCCCCAGCCCCCAGAGGGGAGUCCCUGCCCCACCUACCAGUCUGUGGCCCGUGCACAGUUUCUCCUCCCUGAGUGUCACCGCUUCCUCGCCUGUGAGCUGGGAGGACUAAGUGACCAGUGUGGCUCGUUCCUGGCACCACAUACACGGCAGCCCUCAUUCUGGUAAGUGCUUGGUGCUCCUGCCACCCUCCACCCCACUGUAUUGCAGCAAUUCCCAAAGUGGGGUCCCCAUAACCAUAGCAGCGUCACCUGGGAAUCUGCUAGAAACGAAAAUUCCUGGGCAUCAGGAACUCCAGCGUGGGGCCCAGGGGUCUGUGUUUAACAAGCCUGCUGGGGGAUUCGGGUGUCCACUCAUAUUUGGGUACUACACUUAUAGGGCAUCAACCUGACCAUGUCACUUUGCUGUUCUAGAACCUUCCAUGUCUCCCCACGGUCUUCUGGAUAAGGUCCAAGGGCUCUAACCAGCGUUGGAAGCCCUCCCCCGGUGGCCCUGACUGGUGUAGGUGCUCGGCCUGUUUUUCCAGUCAGAUGACACCCUGCUGGAGGGUGUCAGUGACCGGGGUCUCUGUCCUGGGUGCUGGGGCCCCAGUGCAGGAGGCAGGAGAAAAUGAUGGUGUGUGAUGGCUGCGUGUGUGGCUCCCAGUUGGAGUCUAGGCUCAGAGUCUGGCCUCUUCCUGUGUGAGCCAGGCAAGCUGCUUCACUGCUUGGAGCCUCAGUGUCCUCAUCUGUCAAAUGGGCACGAUAAUUAAGCGCCUGCUUAGGUCGCUGUGAGGAUUAAACACCAUCGCCAGGGCAACGUGCUCAGCUGGUGCCUGGCGGGUGCCUCAUAGCAUUGAGGGUCCACAGCCCUUGUCCAGACCCUCAGGCGGGAGCUU
rnacentral:lncRNA from 1 species